GCCUUCGUGGUGUAGUGGUCAGCACGCUGGGCGUGUAUCCAAAGGUCCAUGGUUCGAGUCCUGCCGAAGGUG
rnacentral:tRNA from 1 species